CAGUCGCCGCGGUAAUACGUAGGUGGCAAGCGUUGUCCGGAAUUAUUGGGCGUAAAGCGCGCGCAGGUGGUUUAAUAAGUCUGAUGUGAAAGCCCACGGCUCAACCGUGGAGGGUCAUUGGAAACUGUUAAACUUGAGUGCAGGAGAGAAAAGUGGAAUUCCUAGUGUAGCGGUGAAAUGCGUAGAGAUUAGGAGGAACACCAGUGACGAAGGCGGCUUUUUGGCCUGUAACUGACACUGAGGCGCGAAAGCGUGGGGAGCAAACAGGAUUAGAUACCCCCGUAGUCCCUGUCUCUUAUAC
rnacentral:rRNA from 1 species